ensembl:lncRNA
CUGCAGACCGGGUCCCUGCCUUACCCCCCGUGGCCCCGCCCCCGCCCGCCGGGGAGGAGCCUCUGAGGGUGUGGCACUACGACGAGGAGUUCCUGUCCGGGCGGGGCUCCCCCCGGCCGGCCACGCCCGGUUCCCCCGAGCCGGUGGGCGACGCCCCCAGCAGCUUCGUGAUGCUGAACCUGAGCUCCUGCCGGCAGGAGGUGGACUCCCGGGAGUGGGGGGUGCUGGAGCGACCCAAGGCCCCCGGCACGCCCUCGGUGGGGGAGGUGGGGGAGGAGGGGGAGGAGGGGGAGGUGCUCCGCCCUGGGGAGCAGAGCCCCGGGUGGGGCAGGGGCAGCCCGGGGCCCAGCUACGGCAAAGCCAGGCCGGACACGCAGGCCUCGCGGCCGGGGUCUCCAAGGGGGAGCGGCUGGAGCUGAGCGUGGGGUCCCCCCCCGGGAACCCGGCGCCCGUGACCCCGACCAGCCCGGCCAACGCCCUGGCGGAAGGGGUCCUCACUCAGCUCCCCACCUCUCCCCCGUCCCUCCCGGAGGAGGCGGCGGCGGUGCGGACGUGCAGCCCCCUGCAGCUGCGCUCCCCCAGCCCCCACACCCUCCUCUGCACCCUGUCGGACCCCUGCACCUCCGGCGGCCCGCCGCGCUGCGCCGCAGCCUGUCCGCCGACCAGCGGGAGCGGGAGCGCGCCUCCUUCUCCUCCUCCUCCUGCCACGCCCCCCUCCCCCCGCCGUCGUCCACCUCGCCGCCGCCGCCCCCGCCCGCCUCCCCCGCCCGCAGGAAGCUGCCCGCUAUCCCGGCCGGCGCCGCCAACGCCAAGUUCCCCUCUGUCAUACGCAUCACGCGCGCGCAGCUGCAGCAGCUGACGGCCCAGCGCCCCUCUGGCCCCUCCUCCUCCCAGUCCGGCUCCGACAGCGCCCCCAGUGCCUGCUGCUGGAGCAGCCCCCGCCCGGCCCCGCCCACCCAGCCGGCCGGCCACGCCCCGACGGCCCCCUCCCCACCUCCAUCCGGCGGAGGGCCUGCUGCACGGAGAGCCCGGCCCGUCCGCGGCCAGAGCCCCGCCCCAGCCGGGACUCCUCCCCCGCUCCCCUCGCAGCCCCCCUCACCAACGGCCGCUCUCUCCGUCCCCUCAGAAGAGCCAGGGGCGGAGCUGAGCCACGGAGCCGCCUCCCACUGCUCCUCCUCCUCCAAGCCCCCGCCACAGUCCCGGCCCCCCCGCCCUCUCCGAUGCUGCUGAUGCUGCCGUCGCCGUGGAGACCAACCACGUCCCGGGCUCGGACGACGACGGCGGCGCCCCCCCGGAGCCCGCCCCCGUCUCCCACACCGCCACGGCCCCCGAGACCCCCCCCGCUGGCAGAGCCGCAUCCCGGUCCCGGAGCCGGCCGGGCCCCCGGAGGCCCCCCCCCCGCCGGGCUCCGCCAUGGAGAAGCUGCUCCUGAAGAGGGCCACCCACGGGCCGGGCCCCGCCCCCUCGCCCGCCGCCUCGCCCUCGCUGUCGGACCGCCGCCGGGCGCGCCCCCCCCGGGGGGACCCGCCCUCCUCGGCGUCCUCGGACCGCUCCCAGGAGGAGGACUCCCUGCCGGGGUCCCGGUCCGACCGCCUGUCGCUGUCCUCCUCGUCCUGCCCGCUGUCCCGCCGGAGCCGCAUCCCGCGGCCCGUGGCGCCCGCCGACCCGCCGGCCCCCC